rnacentral:rRNA from 1 species
UACGUAGGUGGCAAGCGUUGUCCGGAUUUACUGGGUGUAAAGGGCGUGUAGCCGGGUUGACAAGUCAGAUGUGAAAUCCUGCGGCUUAACCGCAGAACUGCAUUUGAAACUGUUGAUCUUGAGUACUGGAGAGGCAGACGGAGUUCCUAGUGUAGCGGUGAAAUGCGUAGAUAUUAGGAGGAACACCAGUGGCGAAGGCGGUCUGCUGGACAGCAACUGACGGUGAGGCGCGAAAGCGUGGGGAGCAAACAGG